rnacentral:rRNA from 2 species
UACGGAGGGUGCGAGCGUUGUCCGGAAUCACUGGGCGUAAAGGGCGCGUAGGCGGCUCACGCAAGCGUGCGGUGAAAGCCCGGGGCUCAACCCCGGGUCGGCCGUGCGGACUGCGGGGCUGGAGCACUGUAGGGGCGGGUGGAAUUCCGGGUGUAGCGGUGGAAUGCGUAGAGAUCCGGAAGAACACCGGUGGCGAAGGCGGCCCGCUGGGCAGUGGCUGACGCUGAGGCGCGACAGCGUGGGGAGCAAACAGG